AGGGUUCUGUCUCAUAUAGGAAGACCCGACUUCCUGCUGAUGAAGCAGGACCAGCCGUCUUUUGUUUAAGGGGGGGGGGCCCCCCA
rnacentral:rRNA from 1 species